rnacentral:misc_RNA from 1 species
AGGAAGCUCCUGGAGGAGAAUGAAUGAUGAAGAGGAAGGUUUUCUACAAAAUUAUAUUUGGGUUGAAUCAGAAGAAAGUGAAUAUACAAUGUGCAGCCAAGUCUACUUAUAUCCUGCUUUGAUGCAAAAGCAAAUUUGAAAACAAGAGGGAAAGAAUAGAUCUUUGUAAAAUUGCUUGUUGAGAAAGAAAAAGAAGCACGAUUUCAACAUGUUCAUCGAUCCUUCAUUCGUUAUGUAGGUUAUACUGUUAGAUAUAUUCUUUUGACAUAAUCUCAUUUUCUUGCAAUAUUUAGUUUGAUCAUAAAAGUAGAUAGAAACUGACUCUAGUGUUGGUUAAGAUAGAGCAAGUGAAAGUUGUAAAUGUGGCAUUUUUCUAGUUAAUUUGAUAUGGAUGGUUACGUGAGUCUAGCUAGCGACGACCAUGUUCUAUCAGAAAG